rnacentral:rRNA from 1 species
AGAGUUUGAUCAUGGCUCAGGACUAACGUUGGUAGUAUGCCUAACACAUGCAAGUCGAGCGGAAAGUAGUAGCAAUAUUACUUUUAGCGGCGAACGGGUGAGUAAUGCUUAUCUUACUUGCCAAUUAGUGGGGGAUAACCAUGGGAAACCAUGGCUAAUACCGCAUUUGUUACUUAGUAAUGAAAGGGAGUCGUCAGGCU